rnacentral:rRNA from 1 species
GACGAACGCUGGCGGCGCGCCUAACACAUGCAAGUCGAGCGAGAACCAGAGCUUCGGUUCUGGGGAAAGCGGCGAACGGGUGAGUAACACGUGGGUAAUCUGCCCUCGGCGCCGGGAUAGCCCGGGGAAACCCGGAUUAAUACCGGAUGGCCUCUCGCGCUCUCGGGCGCGAAAGAAAAGGUGGCCUCGGCUUCUGGCCGAGGAUGAGCCCGCGGCCGAUUAGCUUGUCGGUGAGGUAAUGGCNCACCAAGGCUCCGAUCGGUAGCUGGUCUGAGAGGACGAUCAGCCACACUGGGACUGAGACACGGCCCAGACUCCUACGGGAGGCAGCAGUGGGGAAUCUUGCGCAAUGGGCGAAAGCCUGACGCAGCGACGCCGCGUGCGGGAAGAAGGCCUGG